CACAUCUUUUUACUGAUGAGACUAGCAUCAGAUUUUGUCACAUUUAGAGUCAUAGUCUAGCAAACCCUGACAUUGUCAUUCUCUGGACAACAAGCCUGGUAUUCUGUAAUGCCUUCAAGUGUUUUAGAGUGUUAUUCCCAUAAUAUGUAACUAUUACUUCAAAUAAACAUUCGUAUUUGCUGAUCUAUUUUCUUAAGAACAAGAGAGUGUCUCUGGAUUCUAUUGUAGUGUGAAUUCAGAGAAAGAAACGAGCUCUGACAGUGCAGCCUAGGGAAGAAGACUCCAGUCUGUUACUGUUUACUCAUUGAAAACGCAUACCAAAUCCUACACAAGUUCUUUAAAGCUGCAUAGCUCCCAAGAAAUCCAUACUGGGCUUUAUAAAAGAGGUGCUGGUUGACAGAAAGACAGAAAAACUGAGAAAGUGAUUUUAAAAUAUAACAUGAAGUUAAGUGAAGAUACAGGAACCCAGGAUAGCUAUAUAAGAAAAAAAGUGCACUGUAUGCUAUGAUUUGGGCCUUUAUGUGACAAUAUUUAUUUCUAGUUGGGGUACUACUGAACAAACUUUUGGAGAGAAGCAGGCCGUAAGAACUCUAGAAGUCUACAGAAGUUGUGAUGAGAAGUUAGGAGUGGCGAUGAGCAAGUCAAUGAAUUGUCUAAUGAAGCCUAAUGGAAGCGUCAGUGGGGAGUGGUUUAAUUAACUGAGGAAACUUGUCUCUGGCUGCCAAACUCAAGACUGUAGAAUGAAGAGGCAUUGUGUUCACAGAGGUGAGUGGGAAACACCACCAAGCCAGAUGUCCUCCUUGGUCCUCAGCCAUGAGUGGGGCCGUGCUCCUCCGUCUGUCAGCCUCCUGCACGUCAUCAAGAAGAUAAGGGUGAAGGAGGCAGGCAUCAAAGUUUGUGUGGCCGCAGUGGUGAUGGAGACAGCCAGAAGUGAAAGACUAGCCAUUAAAAGAGAGACUGAAAGUAAAUGGUGUAGAAUCCACACAGGGCAAUGAGAAGAACAGGGACCAGAGCUGUCUGGCAUCAGGCUGCAUGCCCUUUGGAGAGUGGCGGGAUGCCUAGGAGAGUGCAGACUUCAGUGCUCAGCCCACAGAUCAGAAGUCCAAUCUCUCCAUGUACUUCCUCAUGGAUGAAGUUCCCACAGCCAAGACCAAAUUUACUCUUCUGACUUUGGGAGAAUUAGAAUGGUGCAAAGCAACAGAACGGAAAGAGAGCUGGCUCCUCUCUCCAGUCAUUUAUCUCCAGUCUUAAUGUCGUUUCCUCACUGGGGCAGUAGUCUAUGCAGAAGAAGGUUCUAGCAAUGAUCUACAGCUCCACAGGUUUUUCACGGCAGAUGUAUGCGGUGACCAGUUGUCUUCAUCAUCCUUCUCCGAACAUAAACUUCACCUUAAACUUCAUGCCUGUACUCCAUGGACUUCCAUCUGGUGAGAAAGGUACUGACGGAUUUUCCAGGACUGAGCCUGAGAAGCCCCCACCCCACCUGCCCACCCGUGAACAGAAAAGACAGGAGGAGACACUGGAACAGAGAGUAUUCAAAGCCCCACCAUCGCUAGCCAAUCUGCUUCAAUGACUCAGGAUUCUUGAUCAUAAGACUGAUCGAUUUGAGCAAACUGCCCCUUAAAUACACGACUUACCCAGCUCACCCCACUGGCUUCAGUACCCUCCCCUUCCUGGAGUUGUAUGCUGACCUUUGGAGACACCCUUGCUCCUCGAAGAAGUUUCACUCCGCAUUCCAGAAAUAACUCUUCAGAAUGUAUAGGCAUCGCUCAUAGUUUAUCACAGAUAACAUCUGCUUCUUACAUGCAAUAUGUCACCCACUUAAAAACUCAAAGCAACCACACUAUUGAUCUAAAUCUGAACACUUUGAAAACUACUUUUAUUAUUUAACUGAACUU
rnacentral:sRNA from 1 species